GGACGAUCAGCCACACUGGAACUGAGACACGGUCCAGACUCCUACGGGAGGCAGCAGUGGGGAAUUUUGGACAAUGGGCGCAAGCCUGAUCCAGCCAUGCCGCGUGAGUGAAGAAGGCCUUCGGGUUGUAAAGCUCUUUCGGUGGGGACGAAACGGUUCGUGCUAAUACCACGGACUAAUGACGGUACCCGAAGAAGAAGCACCGGCUAACUACGUGCCAGCAGCCGCGGUAAUACGUAGGGUGCAGGCGUUAAUCGGAAUUACUGGGCGUAAAGCGUGCGCAGGCGGUUUGUUAAGACAGAUGUGAAAUCCCCGGGCUUAACCUGGGAACUGCGUUUGUAACUGGCAAGCUAGAGUGUGGCAGAGGGGGGUAGAAUUCCAGGUGUAGCAGUGAAAUGCGUAGAUAUCUGGAGGAAUACCGAUGGCGAAGGCAGCCCCCUGGGUUAACACUGACGCUCAUGCACGAAAGCGUGGGGAGCAAACAGGAUUAGAUACCCUGGUAGUCCACGCCCUAAACUAUGUCAACUGGUUGUCGGGGAAGCAAUUCCUUGGUAACGAAGCUAACGCGUGAAGUUGACCGCCUGGGGAGUACGGCCGCAAGGUUAAAACUCAAAGGAAUUGACGGGGACCCGCACAAGCGGUGGAUUAUGUGGAUUAAUUCGAUGCAACGCGAAAAACCUUACCUACCCUUGACAUGUACGGAACCUCGCAGAGAUGUGAGGGUGCUCGAAAGAGAACCGUAACACAGGUGCUGCAUGGCUGUCGUCAGCUCGUGUCGUGAGAUGUUGGGUUAAGUCCCGCAACGAGCGCAACCCUUGCCAUUAGUUGCUACAUUCAGUUGGGCACUCUAAUGGGACUGCCGGUGACAAACCGGAGGAAGGUGGGGAUGACGUCAAGUCCUCAUGGCCCUUAUGGGUAGGGCUUCACACGUAAUACAAUGGUAGGUACAGAGGGUAGCCAACCCGCGAGGGGGAGCCAAUCCCAGAAAGCCUAUCGUAGUCCGGAUUGUAGUCUGCAACUCGACUACAUGAAGCCGGAAUCGCUAGUAAUCGCGGAUCAGCAUGUCGCGGUGAAUACGUUCCCGGGUCUUGUACACACCGCCCGUCACACCAUGGGAGCGGGUUUCACCAGAAGUAGCUAGUCUAACCGCAAGGAGGACGGUUACCACGGUGAGAUUCGUGACUGGGGUGAAGUCUUAACAAGGUA
rnacentral:rRNA from 1 species